rnacentral:rRNA from 1 species
UAGGGAAUCUUCGGCAAUGGACGAAAGUCUGACCGAGCAACGCCGCGUGAGUGAAGAAGGUUUUCGGAUCGUAAAACUCUGUUGUUAGAGAAGAACAAGGAUGAGAGUAACUGUUCAUCCCUUGACGGUAUCUAACCAGAAAGCCACGGCUAACUACGUGCCA